AAUUGAAGAGUUUGAUCAUGGCUCAGAUUGAACGCUGGCGGCAGGCCUAACACAUGCAAGUCGAACGGUAACAGGAAGCAGCUUGCUGCUUUGCUGACGAGUGGCGGACGGGUGAGUAAUGUCUGGGAAACUGCCUGAUGGAGGGGGAUAACUACUGGAAACGGUGGCUAAUACCGCAUAACGUCGCAAGACCAAAGAGGGGGACCUUCGGGCCUCUUGCCAUCAGAUGUGCCCAGAUGGGAUUAGCUUGUUGGUGAGGUAACGGCUCACCAAGGCGACGAUCCCUAGCUGGUCUGAGAGGAUGACCAGCCACACUGGAACUGAGACACGGUCCAGACUCCUACGGGAGGCAGCAGUGGGGAAUAUUGCACAAUGGGCGCAAGCCUGAUGCAGCCAUGCCGCGUGUAUGAAGAAGGCCUUCGGGUUGUAAAGUACUUUCAGCGGGGAGGAAGGUGUUGUGGUUAAUAACCGCAGCAAUUGACGUUACCCGCAGAAGAAGCACCGGCUAACUCCGUGCCAGCAGCCGCGGUAAUACGGAGGGUGCAAGCGUUAAUCGGAAUUACUGGGCGUAAAGCGCACGCAGGCGGUCUGUCAAGUCGGAUGUGAAAUCCCCGGGCUCAACCUGGGAACUGCAUUCGAAACUGGCAGGCUUGAGUCUUGUAGAGGGGGGUAGAAUUCCAGGUGUAGCGGUGAAAUGCGUAGAGAUCUGGAGGAAUACCGGUGGCGAAGGCGGCCCCCUGGACAAAGACUGACGCUCAGGUGCGAAAGCGUGGGGAGCAAACAGGAUUAGAUACCCUGGUAGUCCACGCCGUAAACGAUGUCUACUUGGAGGUUGUGCCCUUGAGGCGUGGCUUCCGGAGCUAACGCGUUAAGUAGACCGCCUGGGGAGUACGGCCGCAAGGUUAAAACUCAAAUGAAUUGACGGGGGCCCGCACAAGCGGUGGAGCAUGUGGUUUAAUUCGAUGCAACGCGAAGAACCUUACCUGGUCUUGACAUCCACGGAAGUUUUCAGAGAUGAGAAUGUGCCUUCGGGAACCGUGAGACAGGUGCUGCAUGGCUGUCGUCAGCUCGUGUUGUGAAAUGUUGGGUUAAGUCCCGCAACGAGCGCAACCCUUAUCCUUUGUUGCCAGCGGUCCGGCCGGGAACUCAAAGGAGACUGCCAGUGAUAAACUGGAGGAAGGUGGGGAUGACGUCAAGUCAUCAUGGCCCUUACGACCAGGGCUACACACGUGCUACAAUGGCGCAUACAAAGAGAAGCGACCUCGCGAGAGCAAGCGGACCUCAUAAAGUGCGUCGUAGUCCGGAUUGGAGUCUGCAACUCGACUCCAUGAAGUCGGAAUCGCUAGUAAUCGUGGAUCAGAAUGCCACGGUGAAUACGUUCCCGGGCCUUGUACACACCGCCCGUCACACCAUGGGAGUGGGUUGCAAAAGAAGUAGGUAGCUUAACCUUCGGGAGGGCGCUUACCACUUUGUGAUUCAUGACUGGGGUGAAGUCGUAACAAGGUAACCGUAGGGGAACCUGCGGUUGGAUCACCUCCUUACCUUA
rnacentral:rRNA from 2 species